CUUUCCUACGGGGGGCAGCAGUGGGGAAUACUGCACAAUGGGGGAAACCCUGAUGCAGCGACGCCGCGUGGGCGAGGAAGUACCUCGGUAUGUAAAGCCCUAUCAGCAGGGAAGAAACAGGACAGUACCUGACUAAGAAGCCCCGGCUAACUACGUGCCAGCAGCCGCGGUAAUACGUAUGGGGCAAGCGUUAUCCGGAUUUACUGGGUGUAAAGGGAGCGCAGGCGGCUUGGCAAGUCUGAUGUGAAAGGCUGGGGCUCAACCCCAGGACUGCAUUGGAAACUGUUAGGCUAGAGUGUCGGAGG
rnacentral:rRNA from 1 species